rnacentral:rRNA from 1 species
UUAAAAAGCUCGUAGUUGGAUCUCGGCGAUAGGGGGCGGUUCGUUGUUUGACGGUACUGCCCCAUUUACUCGUGUUUUUGACAGAGGGUUGGAGGUCCCCUUUAUUGGGUGUCUUCGGUCACUGUCAGGUUUACUUUGAAAAAAUUAGAGUGCUCAAAGCAUGCUGUUUAUGCAUGAAUACUAGUGCAUGGAAUAAUAGAAUAGGAAGUCGUUUCUAUUUUGUUGGUUUUCGGAAAAUGACUUAAUGAUUAAUAGGGACAAUCGGGGGCAUUAGUAUUCAAACGACAGAGGUGAAAUUCUUGGUCCGUUUGAAGACUAACUACUGCGAAAGCAUUUGCCAAGAGUGUUUUCAUUAAUCAAGAACGAAAGUUAGAGGUUCGAAGGCGAUCAGAUACCGCCCUAGUUCUAACCAUAAACGAUGCCAGCUAGCGAUCUGCGGGUGUGUAUUUCCAAGACCCCGCAGGGAGCUUCCGGGAAACCAAAGCUGUGGGUCCGGGGGA